ensembl:lncRNA
GAGGACCGGGGAUAGUCACUGACAGCAGCAGUUACGUUCAGAUUAACAGAACUGGGUGAUUUUCGAUGAGUGGCUGGACAAGAUUUUUAAUAAGAAACCCUGUCGUCGGCUACGGUUCAUGACCAUCCUUAGGUUUUCCUCUGAGCUCUCUAGUCACGGACACGAAUACUGGAUAUAAUUGUGGAACCACCACGGUCCUCCACGUGUCCUGACCUUCAUCAGCGGCCAGGUUCUCCAUGAGUACUGGCCUUCGUCAGCGGCCAGGUUCUCCAUGAGUACUGGCCUUCAUCAGCGGCCAGGUUCUCCAUGUGUACUGGCCUUCAUCAGCGGCCAGGUUCUCCAUGAGUACUGGCCUUCAUC